rnacentral:rRNA from 1 species
GACGAACGCUGGCGGCGUGCCUAAUACAUGCAAGUAGAACGCACAGUUUAUACCGUAGCUUGCUACACCAUAGACUGUGAGUUGCGAACGGGUGAGUAACGCGUAGGUAACCUGCCUGGUAGCGGGGGAUAACUAUUGGAAACGAUAGCUAAUACCGCAUAAUAUUAAUUAUUGCAUGAUAAUUAAUUGAAAGGUGCAAUUGCACCACUACCAGAUGGACCUGCGUUGUAUUAGCUAGUAGGUGAGGUAACGGCUCACCUAGGCGACGAUACAUAGCCGACCUGAGAGGGUGAUCGGCCACACUGGGACGGAGACACGGCCCAGACUCCUACGGGAGGCAGCAGUAGGGAAUCUUCGGCAAUGGACGAAAGUCUGACCGAGCAACGCCGCGUGAGUGAAGAAGGGUUUCGGAUCGUAAAGCUCUGUUGUAAGAGAAGAACGGGUGUGAGAGUGGAAAGUUCACACUGUGACGGUAUCUUACCAGAAAGGGACGGCUAACUACGUG